ACCGGCAGCUCAAGUGGUGGCCAUUAUUAUUGGGCCUAAAGCGUUCGUAGCCGGUUUGAUAAGUCUCUGGUGAAAUCCCGCAGCUUAACUGUGGGACUUGCUGGAGAUACUAUCAGACUUGAGGUCGGGAGAGGUUAGGGGUACUCCCAGGGUAGAGGUGAAAUCCUAUAAUCCUGCGAGGACCACCUAUUGCGAAGGCGCCUAACUGGAACAUACCUGACGGUGAGGAACGAAAGCCAGGGGCGCGAACCG
rnacentral:rRNA from 1 species